rnacentral:rRNA from 1 species
AAUGAACGCUGGCGGCAUGCCUAACACAUGCAAGUCGAACGAAGGCUUCGGCCUUAGUGGCGCACGGGUGCGUAACGCGUGGGAAUCUGCCCUCAGGUUCGGAAUAACAGCGAGAAAUUGCUGCUAAUACCGGAUGAUAUCGCGAGAUCAAAGAUUUAUCGCCUGAGGAUGAGCCCGCGUAGGAUUAGCUAGUUGGUGUGGUAAAGGCGCACCAAGGCGACGAUCCUUAGCUGGUCUGAGAGGAUGACCAGCCACACUGGGACUGAGACACGGCCCAGACUCCUACGGGAGGCAGCAGUGGGGAAUAGUGGACAAUGGGCGAAAGCCUGAGCCAGCAAUGCCGCGUGAGUGAUGAAGGCCUUAGGGUUGUAAAGCUCUUUUACCCGGGAUGAUAAUGACAGUACCGGGAGAAUAAGCUCCGGCUAACUCCGUGCCAGCCGCCGCCGUAA